AGCGGGUUUCAGAAAGAUGAUGGCCUUGGGCAGUCAGCUUUAAUUUAAAUCUACUCAGUUUUGGUCUGAGAUGGAAACUUUAUUCGAAGUAAAUUAGCUGAAUCAAUAAAUCAGCGCUGAGUGUUGGUGUAACAUUUGUCUUCAAGCUGCUGGUAUAUAAUACUGCAUUACCGUCCUUGAGACUGGUCAGACCAGAUUUUCAAAGAAGAGAC